rnacentral:rRNA from 1 species
UGGGGAAUUUUCCGCAAUGGGCGAAAGCCUGACGGAGCAAUACCGCGUGAGGGAGGAAGGCUCUUGGGUUGUAAACCUCUUUUCUCAAGGAAUAAGUACUGAAGGUACUUGAGGAAUCAGCAUCGGCUAACUCCGUGCCAGCAGCCGCGGUAAUACGGAGGAUGCAAGCGUUAUCCGGAAUGAUUGGGCGUAAAGCGUCCGCAGGUGGCUGUGUAAGUCUGCUGUUAAAGAGUGAGGCUCAACCUCAUAAAAGCAGUGGAAACUACACAGCUAGAGUGACGUUCGGGGGCAGAGGGAAUUCCUGGUGUAGCGGUGAAAUGCGUAGAGAUCAGGAAGAACACCGGUGGCGAAGGCGCUCUGCUAGGCCGCAACUGACACUGAGGGACGAAAGCUAGGGGAGCGAAUGGGAUUAGAUACCCCAGUAGUCCUAGCCGUAAACGAUAGGAUACUAGGCGUUGCGAGUAUCGACCCUCGCAGUGCCGGAGCC